GACGAACGCUGGCGGCGUGCUUAACACAUGCAAGUCGAACGGAAAGGCCCUGCUUUUGUGGGGUGCUCGAGUGGCGAACGGGUGAGUAACACGUGAGUAACCUGCUCUUGACUUUGGGAUAACUUCAGGAAACUGGGGCUAAUACCGGAUAGGAGCUCCUGCUGCAUGGUGGGGGUUGGAAAGUUUCGGCGGUUGGGGAUGGACUCGCGGCUUAUCAGCUUGUUGGUGGGGUAGUGGCUUACCAAGGCUUUGACGGGUAGCCGGCCUGAGAGGGUGACCGGCCACAUUGGGACUGAGAUACGGCCCAGACUCCUACGGGAGGCAGCAGUGGGGAAUAUUGCACAAUGAGCGGAAGCCGGAUGCAGCAACGCCGCGUGCGGGAUGACGGCCUUCGGGUUGUAAACCGCUUUCGCCUGUGACGAAGCGUGAGUGACGGUAAUGGACAAAGAAGCACCGGCUAACUACGUG
rnacentral:rRNA from 1 species